UUGUAACCUUAAUCUUUUGGGUAAUUUUACUUUCGUUGUCUCGCAUAAAUUGGUCACGUGGUCAUUUCUGGCAGUUGAGAGAAAAGUUUAAACAAGAAAGACUUGUUCAGAUUGCAGAGUCCAUUGUAUUUGUUUAAUACAUCUUAGCAUUUGGUUUCGAGCAAACGCACAACUAAAGAAGUCGUGAUUGAGAGACUGUGAGAGGUAUUCGAUUCCCUAAAUCGUUACCAAUACCAAUCUGGAAAAGAAUCACGGUUCGAUAUUCUGUAAAUUCUGUAACUCAUUAAAGAACCCCUGAUUAGAAAGAGAACAAAUCUUGUUGUUGAUAAACCCAC